ensembl:lncRNA
UGUUUCUCUGCAAAUGGAACUCAAAUAUCCUUUGGGUUGACUACACAGAGAACAGAAGAAAAGAACUGGAAGAAACUUGGACCAGAGAUCCUCUCCCUGGAAAGGUUUCUUUCUGGCGGGAUUAUGUGAGAACAAAUGACAUCAGAAAAUAGCACGUCGGGAUACUUAUGCCAGCUCCAUAUGGCCCGGCUUGCUUUCACAGGUAUUUAAUUAAUUCAACAAAUAUUUAUUGAAUCCCUAUCAUGCGUGGGGUACUAUUUUAGGCACUGGAGGUACAGUAGCCAACGAAGCAGAUCUGCUCCCAUGGCACAUACAUUCCAGAGGGAGAAAGAACCAACCAACAAAUGAUCAGAAAAUAUUAUUGUAAAAUGUCAGGUAGCCAUCGCUGCUCAGAAGAAAAGUGAAGCAAGAGAGAAUGGGGUAGAGGGUGUGGGGUGACAUUUUAGACAGUGGCGUUUUGCAAAGGCCACUCUGAGGUGGUGACAUUUGAGCAGAGGCUUAAAUGAAGUGACCUGUAUGUUGAAUCCAGGAAACCAAUUGUAUGUAUUUUUGAGGGGGGGUGGCCAAGAAUACCUACUGAAAAGGUUAGGAAGUUAUUUUGGUUCAAAGAUGCUCAGUUUAAAUAACCAUAAAAACAUGGCUUUCUUGCAUCCCACAAUGUGGCACUUUUAGUGGCAAUUUGGAGAGAGCUCCGAACAUUUUCUUGGAGAUUUUCUGGUGUGUGUAGCAUAGUAACCAGUGUGUAUUCUGCUGUCUUUCUGGCUUGACCUCUUUUUACUUGCUAGCAAGAAGCAGAAGCUGAAGGAUUUUAUACCAGUCAGCCUGGGCAGAAAAUUACAGAGAAGAGGAGGUGAAGUCAGAAAAAUAAGAUAUGAGAAAGAAAGGCACAAUCCAAGAAUGAUUAGCACUGGACUGGAAAGAGUUUUGAGAUGAAACCUCAGAUUUUUUACCACUCAAGUUCUAAAAAGAGAGACAGUAGUAAUUUUGAAGAAAUGGUGGUGGGAAUUGCUUCAGCAAAAGCUGAAGUCAGUGAAGAAAGUAAGAGGAUUGCAAGGUUUCCUUGCUGGUUCUGCCAAUUGAAAUGCUUUUAUCGUGCUGCUGUUUGGCUAAUUUCCAUGGAGACUCCACCGUAUUUGGCUUUGCCUUUCUCUGCCUUUCAGAGGACUUGGAUCUAGACUGACCAUAGCAUCAGGUAUCUCUCAGAUUUUUGUACAAUUCAUUUCUCAUUUUCCACAUUCAAGUUUGGAGUUAUUCAUUUUUUUAAAGAUUUUAUUUAUUUAUUCAUGAGAAGCACAGAGAGAGAGAGAGAGAGAGAGAGAGAGAGAGGCAGAGACACAGGCAGUGGGAGAAGCAAAGCAGGCUCCACGCAGGUAGCCAGAUGCGGGACUCGAUCCCAGGACUCCAGAAUCACCCCCUGAGCCAAAGCUGAUGCUUAACUGUUGAACCACCCAGGUGUCCCAAGUUUGGAGUUGUUCAAAUAAUUAUUUUGCUAUCUUUGAAACCAUCAAUCUUGUAAUCACUGUACAUUUUCCAUGUGCCCAUCACGUUGGUCAGUACCACUGCAUUGUGUUGGUUUGUUCUUGCCAUGGUCAGAUUGACAUAUAAAUUUGUCAAAGUAAAAUUAUGUUCACCAAAAGAAGAAAGAUUUUCAAAAUUGAUUCAGGUCAUUAGGUCAUUGAUUGGUCUGGCAAGCCUCUGUUGAACUUGCAGUGUAUAAAAAUUUAAUUAUUAUAAUUACAAUAUUAUAAAAGUUUGCAGAUUUUGCUAAUAGCUGUAAUUUCUCAAGUGAGAAAGCUACCGAUUAUUUAUCAUCUCUAAGUAAAUUCAAAUCUCUGGCCAAGGAAAUUAGAGCCUUGUGUUAGGUAGAGUUCCUCCAGGUAAAAUGCUAUGAUCUUUUUAAGAAACUAUGGAACCGGAGGCAGUGGACUAGAGCCAGGCAAAUGC